rnacentral:rRNA from 1 species
UACGGAGGGUGCAAGCGUUGUCCGGAUUUAUUGGGUUUAAAGGGUGCGUAGGCGGCCCGGUUAAGUCAGUGGUGAAAGCCUCCAGCUCAACUGGAGAACUGCCCAUUGAUACUGACGGGCUUGAGUACAGACGAGGUUGGCGGAAUUGAUGGUGUAGCGGUGAAAUGCAUAGAUACCAUCAAGAACUCCGAUUGCGUAGGCAGCUAACUAGGCUGUAACUGACGCUGAGGCACGAAAGCGUGGGGAGCGAACAGG